GACGGAAGGUGCAAGCGUUGCUCGGAAUCACUGGGCGUAAAGGGUGCGUAGGCGGCCGUGCAAGUCUGGCGUGAAAGCCCGGGCUCAGCCCGGGAAGUGCGCUCGAAACUGCGCGGGCUCGAGUGCCGGAGGGGAGAGUGGAAUUCCUGGUGUAGCGGUGAAAUGCGUAGAUAUCAGGAGGAAUACCGGUGGCGAAGGCGGAUCUCUGGGCCGUAACUGACGCUGAGGAGCGAAAGCUGGGGGAGCGAACAGG
rnacentral:rRNA from 1 species